rnacentral:rRNA from 1 species
GGUGGAAACGCCGACUAAUACCCCAUAGCAUCACAAGGAGGCAUCUCCAUGUGAUUAAGAAUUUCGGAAACGGAUAGGCUCGCGUGACAUUAGCUAGAUGGCGGGGUAACGCCCACAUGGCGACGAUGUCUAGGGGUUCUGAGAGGAAGGUCCCCCACACUGGAACUGAGACACGGUCCAGACUCCUACGGGAGGCAGCAGUGAGGAAUAUUGGUCAAUGGUCAGACGACUGAACCAGCCAUGCCGCGUGAAGGUCACGGCCCUAUGGGUCUUAAACUUCUUUUGUAAGGGAGCAAUAAGGGUCACGUGUGGUCCGAUGAGAGUACCUUACGAAUAAGCAUCGGCUAACUCCGUG